rnacentral:rRNA from 1 species
GUCACGARCCMGGYCGAGGUAUAAUWACGRAGGGAUGCMAUGCGUUAUCAGGAAUGUAUCGGGUUUAAGGUWCCGUAGCSGGAUACUSUMAMGUCAGUGGUSAAAUCUCACAGCUURACUGUGAAACUGCCAGUGAUUACUGCAGGUCUUGAGURUGUUGAAGUAGCUGGAAUAAGUAGUGUAGCGGUGAAAUGCAUAGMUAUUACUUAGAACACCAAUUGCGAAGSCAGGUUACUAAGCAACAACUGACGCUGAUGSACGAAAGCGUGGGGAGCGAACAGGAUYAGAUACCCUGGUAGUCCACGCCGUAAACGAUGCUAACUCGUUUUUGGUAUUUCGGUAUCAGAGAYUAAGCGAAAGUGAUAAGUUAKCCACCUGGGGAGUACGUUCGCAAGAAUGAAACUCAAAGGAAUUGMCGGGGGCCCGCACAAGCGGUGGAUUAUGUGGUUUAAUUCGAUGAUACGCGAGGAACCUUACCAAGGCUUAAAUGGGAAAUGACAGGUUUAGAAAUAGACUUUUCUUCGGACAUUUUUCAAGGUGCUGCAUGGUUGUCGUCAGCUCGUGCCGUGAGGWGUUAGGUWAAGUCCKGCAACGAGCGCAWCCCCUGUCACUAGUUGCCAUCAUUAAGUUGGGGACUCUAGUGAGACUSCCUACGCAAGUAGAGAGGAAGGUGGGGAUGACGUCAAAUCAUCACGGCCCUUACGCCYUGGGCCACACMCGUAAUACAAUGGCCGGUACAGAGGGCAGCUACACAGMGAUGUGAUGCAAAUCUCGAAAGCCGGUCUCAGUUCGGAUUGGAGUYUGCAACUCGACUCUAUGAAGCUGGAAUCGCUAGUAAUCGCGCAUCAGCCAUGGCGCGGUGAAUACGUUCCCGGRCCUUGUACACACCGCCCGYCAAGCCAUGGAAGUCUGGGGUACCUGAAGUCGGUGMCCGUAAUAGGAGCUCCCAGAGGWWKRUCCCGGMYYG